CCUACGGGUGGCAGCAGUGAGGAAUAUUGGUCAAUGGGCGCGAGCCUGAACCAGCCAAGUAGCGUGAAGGAAGACUGCCCUACGGGUUGUAAACUUCUUUUAUAAAGGAAUAAAGUGAGGCACGCGUGCCUUUUUGUAUGUACUUUAUGAAUAAGGAUCGGCUAACUACGUGCCAGCAGCCGCGGUAAUACGGAGGAUCCGAGCGUUAUCCGGAUUUAUUGGGUUUAAAGGGAGCGUAGAUGGGUUGUUAAGUCAGGUGUGAAAGUUUGCGGCUCAACCGUUAAAUUGCAAUUGAUACUGGAUGUCUUGAGUACAGGUGAGGUAGGCGGAAUGCGUGGUGUAGCGGUGAAAUGCUUAGAUAUCACGAAGAACUCCGAUUGCGAAGGCAGCUUACUAGACUGCAACUGACAUUGAGGCUCGAAAGUGUGGGUAUCAAACAGGAUUAGAUACCCGUGUAGUC
rnacentral:rRNA from 1 species